GAUGAACGCUAGCGGGAGGCCUAACACAUGCAAGCCGAGCGGUAUUUGUUCUUCGGAACAGAGAGAGCGGCGCACGGGUGCGGAACACGUGUGCAACCUGCCUUUAUCUGGGGGAUAGCCUUUCGAAAGGAAGAUUAAUACCCCAUAAUAUAUUGAGUGGCAUCACUUGAUAUUGAAAACUCCGGUGGAUAGAGAUGGGCACGCGCAAGAUUAGAUAGUUGGUGAGGUAACGGCUCACCAAGUCAAUGAUCUUUAGGGGGCCUGAGAGGGUGAUCCCCCACACUGGUACUGAGACACGGACCAGACUCCUACGGGAGGCAGCAGUGAGGAAUAUUGGACAAUGGGUUAGCGCCUGAUCCAGCCAUCCCGCGUGAAGGACGACGGCCCUAUGGGUUGUAAACUUCUUUUGUAUAGGGAUAAGCCUACUCUCGUGAGAGUAGCUGAAGGUACUAUACGAAUAAGCACCGGCUAACUCCGUG
rnacentral:rRNA from 1 species